ensembl:snRNA U6 U6 spliceosomal RNA
GUGCUCACUUCUGCAGCACAUGUACUAAAAUUGGAACGAUACAGAGAAGAUUGGCCCCUGUGCAAGGAAGACACGCAAAUUCGUGAAGCGUUCCAUAUUUUA